rnacentral:rRNA from 1 species
GACGAACGCUGGCGGCGUGCCUAAUACAUGCAAGUAGAACGCUGAAGCGAGGAGCUUGCUCUUCUUGGAUGAGUUGCGAACGGGUGAGUAACGCGUAGGUAACCUGCCUGGUAGCGGGGGAUAACUAUUGGAAACGAUAGCUAAUACCGCAUAAAAUGGAUUAUCGCAUGAUAAUCCAUUGAAAGGUGCAAAUGCAUCACUACCAGAUAGACCUGCGUUGUAUUAGCUAGUUGGUGGGGUAACGGCUCACCAAGGCGACGAUACAUAGCCGACCUGAGAGGGUGAUCGGCCACACUGGGACUGAGACACGGCCCAGACUCCUACGGGAGGCAGCAGUAGGGAAUCUUCGGCAAUGGACGGAAGUCUGACCGAGCAACGCCGCGUGAGUGAAGAAGGUUUUCGGAUCGUAAAGCUCUGUUGUAAGAGAAGAACGAGUGUGAGAGUGGAAAGUUCACACUGUGACGGUAUCUUACCAGAAAGGGACGGCUAACUACGUG